AGGGCCACGGGGUCGACGCCGCGAGUCACGACCAGGUAGUCGCGCAUGACGAUGGCGUGGCGGUUCUC
rnacentral:sRNA from 1 species